rnacentral:rRNA from 1 species
UGCCAGCAGCCGCGGUAAUACGGAGGGGGUUAGCGUUGUUCGGAAUUACUGGGCGUAAAGCGCACGUAGGCGGAUUAGUAAGUUAGGGGUGAAAUCCCGGGGCCCAACCCCGGAACUGCCUCUAAUACUGCUAGUCUUGAGUUCGAGAGAGGUGAGUGGAAUUCCGAGUGUAGGGGUGAAAUUCGUAGAUAUUCGGAGGAACACCAGUGGCGAAGGCGACUUUCUGGCUCGUAACUGACGCUGAGGCACGAAAGCGUGGGGAGCAAACAGGAUUAGAUA